rnacentral:lncRNA from 1 species
CUUGUGAGCCACUGCGUUCUCCAAGGCCAGAACGGGACAGUUGACGAUGGUCGUACUUCUCCAUGUUCUGAGACCAGUUUAAACAAAAACAAAAACCAGACAACAACCUUGCAAGGGAAAGAAUUCAGAGUAAAUAAACAGUCUUUUUCUGGGAAGUAAAAUAUUUCCCUAAGAUGGAGAAAUUGAGAUGAGAGCUCAUCCACAAGAUUACCCAUCAAUGAGCACCAAUAGCAACCAAAUCCACUAGAAGACUGGGAGCUUUUAAGUCAAGAAACUUACAUCAGUAUCAUCAUUCCAAGAAGCGGUAUCCAAGCUGUUUUAUCGAAAGUGCGCAUGGGAGGUUUGAACUCAGUGCUGUUGUGCAGUUGUAUGAACAAGGAAAUUAAAUGUGAAAAAUGGCCAAUCUGUCUAUCCUCUGGGUUCCCUCAACAACGCGGCCUCAUGAAGUACCUGCUGCCAUAUUGACCUCAGUACACACACAGAAGAGCCAAGGGAAUUGCUUCUUUGGGGACUGGAGAUAAGACUCUGAGAAUUUAUAGAAACAAACAUUAGAAGGCAGGAAUGUGGAGAGAAGAAAGCUACCUGACAAGGGAAUCUCAGGAUACAAGGAAAACACCAAGGAUGUGAGAAUGUCUUCGCUGCAUUAUUAUUUUUCAGCAUUGCCUCUGCUGACUUCAUGGGAGGAAUGGUGUUUCUUCUUCUCUCCCAUGUCAUGGAAGACACUCCUGAUGGCAUGUCUGUAGGUCUGUAGGAAAGAAUAAUCACCUCAGUAGCUUAGUGUGUGUAUGUGUGUGUGUGUGUCUGACACACUGUAGGUACAUAAUAAAGAUUUGAAAAUAUGAGUUUUUUUUAAUCCAAGCAGUGCCAUGUGUUUACUUGGAUUAGUAAUUGUACCAAUCUACAUUUUAAAGGUAAAACUAGCCAUUCAUUCUUUUGUUUCAGCAGUUGCCUAAUUUUAUUGUUUAAGUAUAAUGUGAGUGAAGGAAACUUCCUAGUUAGAAAUCUAUGAAUAUUAACUUCUUGUCUUCACUAACCAGAGUUGUUCUCAACUCAUAACACGUGGUUUGGUAAACCAUUUGCAAUGUAAACAUAGCAGAUUUUACUUGUAGUUUCAUAAUUUAGGCAGGUUGGCUCUGUAUUAUUUCUAGAAUCACAGGUAUCUGGAUGAAGAAUCACCAUUUUGUCAUUAGAGAUUACAACAAAUGUAGUUUAUUCUUUUUACCGGUAAUAUCAAUGUAAGCAAAAAUUAUACUUUUUAGCUAAGCAUGUUAUCUUCCCAGACUGGAGGAGUUAUUAUCUUCCAUAUUUUCUCUAUCUUCCACUAUACAAAGGGAAAAUAGAUUGGAAUUGUACUGGCCAUUGCUUUGUAAAGAGAAUAUAAAUAGCAAUAAAACAUAAAGAAAA